rnacentral:sRNA from 1 species
CACACACACACACACGAAGAAAACUAUAAGAUAUGCCAUAUGAGGUGGUGCAUAACUCUAAUCUCAAUGCCUGAGUGAUAGAGGCAGGAGGAUCAUGACAUCUUUGAUGUCAGAGCAGGACAGGCUUAGUCACAUAGUAACACUCUGUCUUAACAAAAUAAUACAAAACAAGACAAGAAAAAACACAGAGGAUACAUUUACCCAGCUACCACUAUGGAGUAAGAGUCAAGAAACAGUUAUGGGUCUCCUCUUUGUCUCUCCUCUCCCUGUGUUCACUUAGAAAUGUAAUCCGCACACCACUAUUCACCCCUCCUUUUCUUUUCACUGUGCUUUCUCUAUUCUUAGGCAAGCUUAGUAAAGUAGUCUUCAGGGCAACCCAGAAAUGGUAGAAAUUCACUUCCUACAGGAACAACUCUGAAGAAGAAACAGAAACCUAUAAAUACAAAGUGCCAUGGAGCAGGUGUUAGUAGGAUACUGAACCCCAAAAUAACAGACGGAUAAGUUUUCUUGUUUGUUUUCCCUCUUCUGACUCAUUUUCCCUAUUUCUUCCUUAUCCUUUGGGAACCAUGCCCCAAAAGACUAGUUAUGCCACUAUUUGUUUCAUUAAGCUUCCUUUCCUUUUAUUUAUUUUUUAACAGAGGCUCUAUCUACAUAGGCCUAAUGCUGGGAUUACAGGCUUUACAGGCUCACAAGGAGUACACCAUCUGUCCCGGUUUUCUAAUGGGUUUUAAAUAAUCCAAAUUAAACCCACAUGAGUACUAGACCUUAAUUAUGUACUAGAAAUGCAGCCUAAACCAAAUCUCUUUAGUAACACCAAACUUCUGAAUAACCAUAGUAAUUAUCCUUUAGUUUUGUUUUGGUUUGGUAUUCUGUAUAAAGCAGCAGUGGAGUAGGAAGGGAAGAUCACAUGUGAGCCUUUAUUCAAAGAGGACAGUACAACUUCCUUGCUGGACUUACAAAGCCUGAAGUUCUACUACCUGAAUGCAAAUUCUACACUUGGAACAUAUUAGUUAAAUGUUCUUGACUUAUUUAGGAGUUUUCUCUUAUUUUCAUUUCCUCCUCUAUAAAAUGGGUAUUAUCAUUGUGAAGAUUAAAUGAACCAUUAUUUUCAUAGCCUAGAUAUAAACUAAACAAAAAAUAUAGAAAACACCAUUGUUAUUAUCAUUAUCUUGUGAUUUGGGGGCUUUCUACUUUAUGUAACGAAGCUUUCAAAAGUAAAAACAAAAACUUAAGCUUAUAUUUUGAUAAUGGCAAUCUUUAAUAAAGUCUCAGAGGAUAAUGUAGCUUAAAAAUAUUGGAUACAAAAUAAUGGAAUUUUGCUGGAUUAUAUAAUAUAAAUGAUGCAUGUUCACCUUUCAUAAAGAGAAUUUUAUUUAAUAGCAUAUCACCCACUUGAGUUUUAUUUUAUUGUGUUUUCUUUGCUCAAUACUAGAUUCAGAGACAUUUCAUUCUUUGUCUCUCUUACCACUCUGUUUUUCUCCUCAUAAUCAUACACUCUAUAACUUGAGUUGGAAGAAGAAAUAGAUAUAAGUUUUAAACUGAUGUCAGAAAAAUCUAAGCCUCCUAAGUCAUACAGUUUUCUUUUCUACUCUCAGGAAUUGUUCUUCAACCAUCAAGGACUAGGCAUUUCUAUAUUGAGAGUCCUAUGUGGCAGUAUACACAGAUGUAGAUUCUUAUAAUCAAUUUUAUUGGAAUGUUUUCUGAAAAUAGCAAACUUUUAUAUCGCAUCACUUAAGAUUAAAUAUUGGCAUACUGCAGUAUAGUAAUUUAGUCUCAACAAGAUUUAACUGACUGGUUCAAACUUUGUAUGCUCUGUUCACUCAUAUAAUUGGUUUAGUUAAAGGAACCCAUGCAAUGAAAGGAUCACUCAAAUAUAUAACUAACUGAUCAUUCUAACAACAUAUAAAAAGUUCAUAAUACACAAAAUGACUCACAUCUUUUUGUACAGGCACAGUGAAUUUACAACAUGGAAGAAAAUGGACCUUUAAAAUACAAUAGGAAAGGGGCUGAAAAUAACCAGUUCAGCAAAGAUCAGUAAAAAGAACCAAUACUGGAAAAGAGAAGAACAUUAUUGACAGAUUCUUGAUUCGAGAAGGAUGCCAGAGCUGUUGCACAAUAUUGCUGCACAAAAGGAGAGACCUCUAAAGACUUUCACAAAGACUUUAACUCUGCAACUGUCUCUUCAUCAUGAGCCACUAACAUGCAUGGACAAAUGGGUAGGUAAUGGAAGGUAGGAGAAAUGAAGUUCCAAUCUUUUAAGUAUGUGAUAACCAUGACACACAAAUUCUGGAAGCACAAAUGCAGAUUGGGCAUUUCAACUAGAGGAAUGCAAAUACUGGAUAAUUUCAUCAAAUACCUAUGUGGAAAGGGCUCCAACUUAAGAAACCAAACAAGAUUUAUAUCUCACCAAUGAUUAAAAACAAGACCUAAUAUUGUGAUGGUAAUUAAAACUAAAAUGACUGCUUUUGGAGAGAAAGAAGGGCCAACAUUUCCUAAAAGUAAAGGGUAAACCUGAAAAGCUCCUGAAGUAAGAGUCUCAAGGGAAUAUUAAGUAGCCUGUUAAGAUAAAAAAGGUACCAGAAAAAUUUAAUAUGACCAUAUAAAGAUAAAGUAACUAAUUUUUGUCAUCUUAAAUUAGUGUGAGGCUAGAUUUUGCCCACCAUAUGCAUGUAACUUAGUGCAAAGAAAUGGUACUUCAGAUUUCACUGUGAAGAAUACGGAUAUGGUCACAAAACUAAUUCAUGCCUUUAACUAAUAUCUGUAGAAAACACUCUAAUCUACAAGCUUUAAACAUUGUAAAUAAUACUACUAUAAACUAAGUGAUACUAUCAAUCUUCAUAUUUACAAUACUCUGACUCGAUGUGGUUGAUUCCCUAAGCUGUUGUUUACUCGUGGCCGUAAAUCACAGCUAUUUUCUAAUCUUGACUAAAUUCUUCUUGAUGCUUAUUUAGCAAGUAAUAAAUUGAAUACAUUUGUGAAUGAAUAAGAACAUGUUUUCUCUUAGUUACAUGGUAAAAGACUAUGAAAAGUUAGACAGCAUCUCACAUCUCACACAGCAUUCAGUAAGCUGUUAUAGAGAAAAAAGUAGGAGGUGGUUAAUGAUAUUGAGCAUCAAUAAUUACCAACUAAUAGACCAUCGUCUUCCUUGACUAUCAUUUUAAUUAUAAUGUUAAUACAUAUAAGAAGAUGGGGAUAGAAGAUAAGUAAUUUAACAAUGCAAUGCUACUAAUGUCUGAUCUGAGGGCUUGUUAUCUGCUCUUUACUAGUCACACGCCAGACAUUAAUACAUUUCCUUCUCAUAACAGUCUUAUGGCAUAGGUAUUUCUUUUGAGUCUAUUGUACAAAUGGAAACUAAAGGUGAGAGAAUUUUAGUUACAGUUCCAGGUUACAUAGCUACUUAUUACUAGAUGUGCAAAAACGGAAAUCUUGCUUCUGUAACCCCAUUAAAAGUCAUCUGUAGUGGCCUUUGCCACUGAUUCAGGGACAGAAGAGUAGACAAUGGUCACAUAAUCAUAACCAAAGUUUCAGUGUCCUGUUCCUAGACUUUAAGCACCCUCAUAGAAGCAAAGAGAGGGGAGAUGGCACAGUGGGUUUCCAGAGCAGAAACUGGA